rnacentral:misc_RNA from 1 species
AACGCAUAUUGCGCCCCUUGGUAUUCCGGGGGGCACACCUGUUCGAGCGCCAUUUCAACCCUCAAGCAUAGCUUGGUGUUGGGUAUGGUCCUAGGGGACCUACCCGUAACUCGUAGGCGGUCGCCGCCCAUACCCCCAGCGUAGCAAGCUUUUCACGCGUUCGCUCGGGGAAUGGUGUGAUCCGGCAGCCCAAGAAAAAAUAUUUUCCAAGGUUUGGCCUCGGAUCAGGUGGGGAUACCCGCUGAACUUAA